rnacentral:rRNA from 1 species
UACGUAGGGUGCGAGCGUUAAUCGGAAUUACUGGGCGUAAAGCGUGCGCAGGCGGUUAUGUAAGACAGUUGUGAAAUCCCCGGGCUCAACCUGGGAAUUGCAUCUGUGACUGCAUAGCUAGAGUACGGUAGAGGGGGAUGGAAUUCCGCGUGUAGCAGUGAAAUGCGUAGAUAUGCGGAGGAACACCGAUGGCGAAGGCAAUCCCCUGGACCUGUACUGACGCUCAUGCACGAAAGCGUGGGGAGCGAACAGG